GGGGACAUUCAUUGUGCACAGAAAAAAAGCUUAAACCAAUUUAAAGGUUUCAUUAUAUAAAUCUAAAAUAGAGUUACAUUUAUAAGAGUAUUUACAAAUCUUAUAAGUAAUUUAAUUUCAUAUCUUUCUUUGUAUUAAUAAAAUAAUUUUUAGGCAUAUGUUCUCGUAAUUUUAUUCCAUAUCUUUAUUUGUACCAUCUUUCUCAAUAUACCUUUUUUUGUUUUUCUCUGUGUAGCAGUGCGUUUUAUUCGACGACGCCCGUUCUGGGGGCCAAUGAUCUCUGAUUCCGAGCCAAACUCUGGUAUGCACUAAUUGUUUGCAGAGGCUUGUGGGGCUGUAGACGCUUUUCGCGGGGUUUUUAGUGCGCCGCGCUCACCUUAGUCGCUGUUUCUCAGUCCCAAAAGUCUCGGGUUUUCUCUCAUGUAAUGAUAUUUUUUUUGGGUGCGACUGCGCUGAGACGAGAAAUCAGUGAAACUUGAAUUACCAUAAAAACUCGUGUAGCAGUCAACAGCUGCGGCAACUGCGCGAUUGCGAAUGCCGUCGCCUCGGUUCGGCUACUCAGCCUUCCAAUGGCCGUGCCGGAAAAUUUUGACAUAAUAAUUGUCAAGCUGACAUUUCCAACCACGCAGCUGACAGCUGAGCCUGAACCAGCCGAGCUCCCGAGUGUUAAACGAAGCCGGGCCGAUAGCUGGUCGAACUCCCCCCAGCUUAACCCCUUGAGAUCGCAGGGGGAUUAUGGAAAGGAUUAAGGAACUUAUCGCUUCACAUCUCGUAGUGAUUUAAUGUAUUUUGGCUUUCAAAAGUCAAAGCCAUUAAUUACCUCAUUCUCCAACGGAGGUCUCCGAAAUGAAAGCUAAACCACAAUCAACAGCGCCGACGACUUUGGCGAGGUGCGCAUAAAAAUCGCAUUUAAUUGUGAUUUUCACACGAAAUACAAUGCGCAUGAGCAACUGGCGCCGCUGGUUAAAAUGAGGGGGUGACGUUUCAUAAAGGGGGAGGCGGUAAUACUUGAUGGCAAUUUGUGUAACUAGCGGUAAAGCGUAACUACUAAACAGUCCGCGACCGCUGCAGUUGUUGUUUUUGCUUUUGCUUUUGUUGCUGGUGGUGGCUUUUGGGAAACACCUGCAAAACGCAAAACGCACCUGUUUCGCUUAACAACAACAGCAACAACAAGCGGCAAACAAAAACUAAAACAAAGUCAAGACACCAACGCCAGCGCUAGCAAUACAAAUGUAUAAAAGCAACGCGGACACGGCUCAGCAACUUUCGUGGGUUAAGCUGGCCG